CCUACGGGAGGCAGCAGUGAGGAAUAUUGGUCAAUGGACGAGAGUCUGAACCAGCCACGUCGCGUGAAGGAUGACUGCCCUAUGGUUUGUAAACUUCUUUUAUAAAGGAAUAAAACGAGGCACGUGUGCCUUUUUGCAUGUACUUUAUGAAUAAGGAUCGGCUAACUCCGUGCCAGCAGCCGCGGUAAUACGGAGGAUCCGAUCGUUAUCCGGAUUUAUUGGGUUUAAAGGGAGCUUAGGCUGUGAGGUAAGUCAGCGGUGAAAUGCCCCCGCUCAAAGGGGUGAAGUGCCAUUGAUACUGCCGUGCUGGAAUGCGGAUGCGGUAGGAGGAAUGUGUGGUGUAGCGGUGAAAUGCAUAGAUAUCACGAAGAACUCCGAUUGCGAAGGCAGCCUACUAAACUGCCACUGACAUUGAUGCGCGAAAGUGUGGGGAUCAAACAGGAUUAGAUACCCUUGUAGUC
rnacentral:rRNA from 1 species